UGGGGAAUAUUGCACAAUGGGCGCAAGCCUGAUGCAGCCAUGCCGCGUGUAUGAAGAAGGCCUUCGGGUUGUAAAGUACUUUCAGUCGGGAGGAAGGUGGUAAGGUUAAUAACCUUGGCAAUUGACGUUACCCGCAGAAGAAGCACCGGCUAACUCCGUGCCAGCAGCCGCGGUAAUACGGAGGGUGCAAGCGUUAAUCGGAAUUACUGGGCGUAAAGCGCACGCAGGCGGUUUGUUAAGUCAGAUGUGAAAUCCCCGGGCUCAACCUGGGAACUGCAUCUGAUACUGGCAAGCUUGAGUCUCGUAGAGGGGGGUAGAAUUCCAGGUGUAGCGGUGAAAUGCGUAGAGAUCUGGCGGAAUACCGGUGGCGAAGGCGGCCCCCUGGACGAAGACUGACGCUCAGGUGCGAAAGCGUGGGGAGCAAACAGG
rnacentral:rRNA from 1 species